CUAGUGGCGGGGUGUCUUACAAUGCCAAGUCGAACGAUGAAGCCCAGCUUGCUGGGUGGAUUAGUGGCGAACGGGUGAGUAACACGUGAGUAACCUGCCCUUAACUCUGGGAUAAGCCUGGGAAACUGGGUCUAAUACCGGAUAGGAGCGCCUACCGCAUGGUGGGUGUUGGAAAGAUUUAUCGGUUUUGGAUGGACUCGCGGCCUAUCAGCUUGUUGGUGAGGUAAUGGCUCACCAAGGCGACGACGGGUAGCCGGCCUGAGAGGGUGACCGGCCACACUGGGACUGAGACACGGCCCAGACUCCUACGGGAGGCAGCAGUGGGGAAUAUUGCACAAUGGGCGAAAGCCUGAUGCAGCGACGCCGCGUGAGGGAUGACGGCCUUCGGGUUGUAAACCUCUUUCAGUAGGGAAGAAGCGAAAGUGACGGUACCUGCAGAAGAAGCACCGGCUAACUACGUGCCAGCAGCCGCGGUAAUACGUAGGGUGCGAGCGUUAUCCGGAAUUAUUGGGCGUAAAGAGCUCGUAGGCGGUUUGUCGCGUCUGUCGUGAAAGUCCGGGGCUUAACCCCGGAUCUGCGGUGGGUACGGGCAGACUAGAGUGCAGUAGGGGAGACUGGAAUUCCUGGUGUAGCGGUGGAAUGCGCAGAUAUCAGGAGGAACACCGAUGGCGAAGGCAGGUCUCUGGGCUGUAACUGACGCUGAGGAGCGAAAGCAUGGGGAGCGAACAGGAUUAGAUACCCUGGUAGUCCAUGCCGUAAACGUUGGGCACUAGGUGUGGGGACCAUUCCACGGUUUCCGCGCCGCAGCUAACGCAUUAAGUGCCCCGCCUGGGGAGUACGG
rnacentral:rRNA from 1 species